rnacentral:rRNA from 1 species
AUGCAAGUCGAACGCGAAAGGGACUUCGGUCCUGAGUAAAGUGGCGCACGGGUGAGUAACGCGUGGAUAAUCUGCCCUUAUGAUUGGAAUAACAGUUGGAAACGGCUGCUAAUACCGGAUACGCUCAAAAUGAACUUUUUGAGGAAAGAUGGCCUCUGCUUGCAUGCUAUCGCAUAAGGAUGAGUCCGCGUCCCAUUAGCUUGUUGGCGGGGUAACGGCCCACCAAGGCAACGAUGGGUAGCCGAUUUGAGAGGAUGAUCGGCCACACUGGAACUGAAACACGGUCCAGACUCCUACGGGAGGCAGCAGUGGGGAAUAUUGCGCAAUGGGCGAAAGCCUGACGCAGCGACGCCGCGUGAGGGAUGAAGGUUUUCGGAUCGUAAACCUCUGUCAGAAGGGAAGAAACUACGUUGUGCUAAUCAGCAGCGUACUGACGGUACCUUCAAAGGAAGCACCGGCUAACUCCGUGCCAGCAGCCGCGGUAAUACGGAGGGUGCAAGCGUUAAUCGGAAUUAUUGGGCGUAAAGCGCGUGUAGGCGGUUUGAUUAGUCUGAUGUGAAAGCCCUGGGCUCAACCCAGGAAGUGCAUUGGAAACUGUCAGACUUGAAUACGGGAGAGGGUAGUGGAAUUCCUAGUGUAGGAGUGAAAUCCGUAGAUAUUAGGAGGAACACCGGUGGCGAAGGCGGCUACCUGGACCGAUAUUGACGCUGAGACGCGAAAGCGUGG